UCCUACUGGCAAGAACUUCCCAUUUGAAAA
rnacentral:piRNA from 1 species